AGGACGAACGCUGGCGGCGUGCCUAAGACAUGCAAGUCGAACGGUCCAAGCAAUUGGACAGUGGCGAACGGCGGAGUAAUACAUGAACAACGUGCCCCAAAGACUGGGAUAGUUACUGGAAACGGUGGGUAAUACCAGAUGUGGCGUCGGAAGGACAUCCUUCGGACAUUAAAAUGGUUUUUCGCUUUGGGAGCGGUUCAUGGCCUAUCAGGUAGUUGGUGAGGUAACGGCUCACCAAGCCGACGACGGGUAGCGGGUCUGAGAGGAUGAUCCGCUCGAGUGGGACUGAGACACGGCCCACACACCUACGGGUGGCAGCAGUUGGGAAUCUUGCACAAUGGGGGAAACCCUGAUGCAGCGACGCCGCGUGGAGGAUGAAGGGUCUAGGCCUGUAAACUCCUUUUAUCGGGAAAGCUUAGGACGGUACCGAUGAAUAAGCACCGGCUAACUACGUGCCAGCAGCCGC
rnacentral:rRNA from 1 species